rnacentral:lncRNA from 1 species
GCUGGGGGCACCAUUAUGCCUUGACACAACCAUUGGUCAGCAAAUUGGUCACAUUAUUGCCUCAGCUCUGAUAGAGUUGGUUGUGUGCUGUCCACUACUUUCUACCUUCAUCAUAACGACCAAGGGAAGGCACCUCCGAGGAGAACUCCUUCUACUUCCCAGCUUCUGCUGCACUCAAAAACCACCACCAGCAUCUCAUCCAUGCCUUGUUCUUAG